UCUCACCACAGCAGCCUGCUACUCAGCAACCACAGGCUCACUUUACAGGGUCUCCACAACAGUAUCAGUCACCGGGUCUCACUUAUGAUGCCCUCAGUCCAUCAGACCUAAGUGCAGCCUUUGCUCAGAUGCAGCUUCAGCAACAAAAUACUUCUUGGAACCAAGAUAUCAUGGACACUGGGGCUGGAUCACACGUCACCCGUGAUCAAGGACCUCAUCACUAAACGGACUCUCUCUCGCCAUAACAGCACCGGGGAUCUCUACCCAUUCACACCACCUCAACUGCCUCCUCAAGCUUGUUUUAUUGCAUCACCUGCUCUUCCUUGGCACGAUAGGCUUGGUCAUCCAGGGGCUCAAGUCUUAGACAUUUUAAGUCGUA
rnacentral:lncRNA from 1 species